UAAGGAAUAUUGGUCAAUGGACGCAAGUCUGAACCAGCCAUGCCGCGUGCAGGAAGACUGCCCUAUGGGUUGUAAACUGCUUUUGUCUAGGAAUAACCCUUCGGUCGUGACUGAAGCUGAAUGUACUAGAAGAAUAAGGAUCGGCUAACUCCGUGCCAGCAGCCGCGGUAAUACGGAGGAUCCAAGCGUUAUCCGGAUUUAUUGGGUUUAAAGGGUGCGUAGGCGGCACGCUAAGUCAGGGGUGAAAGACGGUGGCUCAACCAUCGCAGUGCCUUUGAUACUGGUGUGCUUGAAUAUACAUGAGGUAGGCGGAAUGAGACAAGUAGCGGUGAAAUGCAUAGAUAUGUCUCAGAACACCGAUUGCGAAGGCAGCUUACUAAAGUAUUAUUGACGCUGAGGCACGAAAGCGUGGGGAUCAAACAGG
rnacentral:rRNA from 2 species